UCGUUUUCUUUUAUUUACUUUUACUUUAAUUUUGGUCUGGACACACCUAUUUGAUAGAGAGACAUCAUCAUCAUGAUUUGUUAGAAUAAUCUAUGUGUUUCACCUAUAUCUUUUGAGCUUAGCAGUUGCUCUAGUACUUCACUUAUAUCUUUUUGAGCACGGGGCGUGUAGAUUUUAUAAAAAUAGUAUGCUCUCGUCUUCACUUAUAUUUGUUUGAGAGUUAGUAAAUAGUGACGGUAAUUUGCAUGGAUCAUAAGACUAGAUCAAAAAUAAUGAGUG
rnacentral:lncRNA from 1 species